AGGAGUGGAGCCUGCGGCUUAAUUUGACUCAACACGGGAAACCUCACCAGGCCCGGACACCGGAAGGAUUGACAGAUUGAGAGCUCUUUCUUGAUUCGGUGGGUGGUGGUGCAUGGCCGUUCUUAGUUGGUGGAGCGAUUUGUCUGGUUAAUUCCGAUAACGAACGAGACUCUAGCCUGCUAACUAGGCGUAUUUCGACAUCCCAAAGGCCCGCCGGUUUGGGGUUCCGACUCCUUUCCGCGCGCGGUUUUUACUGUCGGCGUACAAACAAUUCUUCUUAGAGGGACAGGCGGCUUCUAGCCGCACGAGAUUGAGCAAUAACAGGUCUGUGAUGCCCUUAGAUGUUCUGGGCCG
rnacentral:rRNA from 13 species